GGUUUAUCCCGGAGGGCUUGUAGCUCAGUUGGUUAGAGCGCGCGCUUGAUAAGCGUGAGGUCGGAGGUUCAAGUCCUCCCAGGCCCACCAGUUUAUCCAUUACUUUCAUAAGUGCUUUUAAAAAAUAAGUACUUCUAAAAAGAUUGCUUCUAAAAAGAUUGCUUCUAAAAAGAUUGCUUCUAAAAAGAUUGCUUCUAAAAAGAUUGCUUCUAAAAAGAUUGCUUCUAAAAAGCUUAUCAAAAUUGGCAGGCUUAUUGCUUUUGUGUGAGUAAUCCAAAGUUAAAGCAAAUUAAUGGCAAAAAAACAGUUCAAAUGCUAAAUACUAAGGAGUCAAAAUUCCUUGCAAAGUGAUUUUUACAGCGUCCAUUUGGUUGAUAUAAAUUCCAAAUGCUCAUAGACGUCAAUGCCUAUAUGAAACUAUCGGUUCAAUCAUAUCGCUUUGAGUUAUAUAGAUUUUGUAAUCCCUCUUUUGAUCGUUUUAAACGCUUUAUCCUGAUUUAGGGGCCGUAGCUCAGCUGGGAGAGCACCUGCUUUGCAAGCAGGGGGUCGUCGGUUCGAUCCCGUCCGGCUCCACCAUAAGGUCAUCAUCAUUG
rnacentral:tRNA from 1 species